rnacentral:sRNA from 1 species
UUUUAGCCCUGAUGGGAGCGGCAUCCUUUUGUGCCGGGGUUCGGAACAAAAGAUACAGCGGACAGCAGGAUUAGCU